rnacentral:lncRNA from 1 species
CAAUAAUGAUGUAUUUGGCAAAUCAAAUACCAUGGUCUAAUAAUCAACCAUUCUGAUUAAUUGAUAAUAUUAGUAUUAGUUGGAAAUUUUCUGAAAGAUUCCUGUGAAAAGUUUCAUUAACGCGUAAUUCGUGUCGAGUAGACCUUGUUGUUGUGAGAAUUCUUAAUUCAUGAGUUGUAGGGAGGGAUUUAUGUCACCACAAACAGAGACUAAAGCAAGUGUUGGAUCCAAAGCUGGUGUUAAAGAGUACAAAUUGACUUAUUAUACUCCUGAGUACCAAACCAAGGAUACUGAUAUAUUGGCAGCAUUCCGAGUAACUCCUCAACCUGGAGUUCCACCUGAAGAAGCAGGGGCCGCGGUAGCUGCCGAAUCUUCUACUGGUACAUGGACAACUGUAUGGACCGAGGAGUCAAGUCUGUCUGCCCGGUGGUCGGAUGUGAAGGAGUGAGUAAUGAGCCAUUUUUCGUUUGGAGUGGGUGCCGUGGUAAUGAACGGAUUCGAAGACUCUGUAUAGCUCUGCAUUCCUUUUUCUUUAUUGUCUGGUAGUUAAGGAGUGAAUGCAAAUCAGAUAAGAAAGAGACUAAACUCCGAUGUCGGAAUCUCGUCUGCGUAGUUCGAAUCUCUUUCUUCCCGAAAAUCCCAUGAUGUGCAUGUACAUACAGCUUCUAAUAAUGUUGCUACUACAAAUUUUGCAGCUUCUACUAGUGAAAAAAAAGACUUAGCUCUAGGGCACAAUAGACGAGGCCAUGCUUUUCUUACUACUCUAAGGAAGCUAAGUUGUUUUAAAUGUAUUUCUAUUAAGGUUGAGGCUACUGUUGUAGACAUGUGCACUGCAUGCCCUUUGGCUAAACAAUCAAGGAUUUUUCCUUUAAGUACCACCUCUACAUAUGCUUGUUUUCACUUAUUACAUGCUGAUGUCUGGGGUUCCUACAGGGUACCUAUACAUGACGGUAAAAGGUUUUUUAACCUUGGUUGAUGACUAUUCCAAAUACAUUUGGAUAGUUCUGCUUAAAUCUAAAUCAGAAGUCAUAGUUGUUCUUAAAAACUUCCUUAUCAUGAUAAAAAAUAUGUUUGGUACUUUUAUUAAAUGCCUAAGAUCUGACAAUGGUUGUGAGUUCUUCAACUCUCAAAUAACUGACCUACUCGUAUCACUUGGAAUUCUACAUCUAAUCUCUUGUGUCUAUACACCUCAAUAAAAUAGUUUUGUAGAGAGAAAGCAUAGACAUAUUCUAGACACAACCAGGUCUAUCAGAUUCCAGUCUCAUGUACCUCUGAAGUUUUGGGAGAAUGUGUCCUUACUAGUAUGUAUCUCAUUAACAGAUUGCCCUCUACUGUCCUUAAGGGUAAGACUCCUUUUGAAUAUAUGUAUCAUUCUGGUCCUUCUCUUGAGCAUCUUAGAGUAUUUGGCUACUUAGCUUAUGCUACUGAAGUAAGGAGGGUGGAUAAGUUUGCCUCAAGGGCUAUUCCUGCAGUAUUUCUUAGUUACUCACAUCUCUCAAAGGGGUACAAACUCAUGGUUUUACAUACCAAGGAAUUCUUAGGCAGUAGAGAUGUAGUCUUUAAUGAAAAUGUAUUUCCUUUCCAACACAUGAGCUCUUUCUCUCAUAUAUUUUAUCCUCCUUUGUUCCAUGAUUCUACUGAUGCUAAGUUUGUGCCUUUGGUGAUUCCUGCAUCCUCUAGUUCUACCACUGCUGAUCUUCUGGUUCUAGGUUUUGCUCUCAACUCAGUUCAAGAUAUUGCCCAGCCUGAACCUGCUAUUACUGAAUCAGUUGAGUUACUUCCCUUAUCUCAAACUAGAAGAACUUCUACUAGACAGACUAGACCACUAAUUUGUCUUAAAGACUAUCAAACUAAAGUGUCUAAAGCUAACUUUGCAUGUCUAUACCCUAUUUCUUACCAUGUGCGCUAUGCUGCACUCUCUUCUUCUUACUGUGCUACUUUAUUAACUUACUCUUCAGUACAUGAACCUACUUUAUUUUUUGAAGCUUCUAUGGAUCCCGAGUAGAUUGAAGCAAUGAAGUCUGAAAUGGUUGCAUUUGAGGAUAAUAAUACAUGGACCAUAGUUUAUUUUCCCCCGGUAAAAUUCUCAUUGGUUAUAAAUGGGUGUUUAAAGUUAAGUAUGUAGCAUCUGGUGUUGUUGAAAGAUACAAGGUCAGGAUAGUUGCAAAGUGCUUUAAUCAGAUAGAAAGGUUGGACUACUCAGACACAUUCUCUCCGGUGGCUAACACGGUCACGUCAGAUCAUUGUUGUUGUUGCUGCAGUUAAGCACUAGCCUGUGUUUCAGAUGGAUGUUCACAAUGUUUUUCUGCAUGGUGAUCUUAUUAAAGAUGUAUCUAUGGCUCUUCCCCCUGGCAUUUACAGACAAGGAGAGGUUGAUAAGGUCUAUAAGUUGCAAAAAUCUCUUUAUGGGCUUAAGUAAGCUCCAAGGCAAUGGAACUUGAAACUAACAGAGGCUCUUAUUCAACUUGAGUUUGUACAAAGUCAUUAUGACAACUCUCUGUAUACAAAGACAGCAGGGAAGGAUCUAGUCAUAGUACUAGUCUAUGUUGAUGAUCUGUUAGUAAUUGGUAGAUAUAGCAGAUUGAUUGAUCAAACUAGAAGUGAUCACAUGUUUAAGUUCAAGAUGAAAGACUUGGGUCCUUUAAAGUUCUUUCUUGGCAUUGAAUUUUCUAGGUCCAAGAAGGGGAUUGUCAUAAGCCAAAUAUAAAAUAUGCUUUAGUCCUUAUUUUUUAGCUAGGACUUAGUAGAGCCAAGCAAGUGUAUGCACCACUUGAUCCAAGUCUGAGAUUGACCUUAAUUGAAUAUGACUCACAUGUAAACAACUCAGGAGAAGAUCCAGUAGAUAAACCUCUAAAAGAUAUUAGGAAAUAUCAAAGGCUAGUUGGGAGGUUGUUGUAUUUAACAAUGACAAGAGUGGACAUUUCCUUUGUUGUACAAGUGUUGAGCGAGUUCUUGCAUGCACCUAAGGAAUCCCACAUGGAAGCUGCUAUCAGAGUGGUGAAAUAUGUUAAGGCUUCACCAGGCUUAGGCUUGUUCAUGCCAUCGCAAGGCUCAGGUACAUUGACAGCAUUUUGUGACUCAGACUGGGGAACUCGUCUACAAACUAGAAGGUCUGUGACUGGGUAUUUAGUUAAAUUUAGAGCUGCUUUGGUGUCUUGGAAAUCAAAGAAGCAAAAGAUAGUAGCUAAAAACUCAGCUGAAGCAGAGUUCAGAAGUAUGGCCUCAA